rnacentral:lncRNA from 1 species
AGAUAUAGAGCAUAAAAAUUUAUUGUAUAGUAUUGUAUUUGCAAGUUACAAGUCAAACAUGUUUUACUAUAUAUAAAAGAUCAUAUUACUUUAUUUAUGUUUUAUAUAUUCUUUGUUUAUCAUAAAUAUCAUAUUGCUGAUAUGAUAUUGAUAUUGUUCCCUAAGGCAGUGCCUCCCUUUCAGUCAAAGAACAAUAUGGCAGCUCUAACAUGGCAUAGAUGCAACCACAAUAGUGCAUUACUUCUGGUACCUUUUGUUUCAGAAUUUUUAUUAAAAAAAUUAUUUUUCCAACUUCUGCAAAAUUUGAAUUAUUUAAAAACCUUCAUUCCCAAUUAUUUAUGUAAACUGUAGAAAACUUUCUAAACUGCUCUUUUCGG